rnacentral:rRNA from 1 species
UACGUAGGGGGCAAGCGUUGUCCGGAUUUAUUGGGCGUAAAGAGCGUGUAGGCGGCCAUGUAGGUCCGUUGUGAAAACUCGAGGCUCAACCUCGAGACGCCGAUGGAAACCAUCUAACUAGAGUCCGGAAGAGGAGAAUGGAAUUCCUGGUGUAGCGGUGAAAUGCGCAGAUAUCAGGAAGAACACCCGUGGCUAAGGCGGUUCUCUAGUACGGUACUGACGCUGAGACGCGAAAGCGUGGGGAGCGAACAGG